GGAGGGAUGGCAGAGCGGUUGAAUGCACCGGUCUUGAAAACCGGCAAGGGUCAAUAGCCCUUCCAGGGUUCGAAUCCCUGUCCCUCCGCCA
rnacentral:tRNA from 1 species